UAGCACAUCACACACUCAACACUCCUGCUGCUCUGGUCGACUCUCACAUAAAUGGUGACUCACCGCCCAUCGCAGCCAACAGAGCUGGCGGAGAGAGCGAAAUUCGUGUGGAUGUGGCUGGGAGGAAUGUCAGCGCGAGCCAUAGCGCAGGAGACAGGCACGAGUGUGACCACUGUGUGUAGGUGGGUGCGACGCUGGCAGAGUGAAGGCAACGUGAACACAAGACCCCGCAGCGGCAGACCUUGUAAGGGUCCGCCAGCACGGAAGUUUAUCAACGGCUCUAAGGACAGGCAAGCAGUCGCAGGUCAGCUCACGACCUGGGCGGCGGCUCUACCGCCGGCCACCAGUCACCGCCAGGGAGAAAAUAGUGCCUCGUCGGCCAUUCAUGCAAAGAAGGGUCUGUAUUACCAGUCUUGUUAUGCAGAGUACCUUAACGAAUUACAAGGGUUCAACUAUAUAUAUUUACACAACUUUCAUUCAAUGCACAGUUUUUUUUAAUGGAAAUCACUAAGGAAGAUCGGACACACUCCAGCCACACCCAUGUAACACCGUGUGGUGAGAGGCAAGACAUCUUACUGUGGCCCAGAGGACUAUGAAGACACACCCGGUGAUGGACAAGCCCGGUAAUCCGGCUAGAGGAGAUUGUCCUUCUUGACAGGACACCAUUUUCUUUAAUUAGGCAGAAAACUGUGUGGACCUUGCAUAGAGUUCGAAUGACCACUGUACUCUUGUGGGGCCAAAAUUAUCAACCAAAACUUUGAUAAUUAAAUAUUUCAUAUAUGCAAGAUACUUCCAUGGGUUCUACAAAAUACUACGUCUGGUACUACUCUUCAUAUAUAACAAGAAGAUACUCAGGAAUACACAUAACACCUUAAAGGAAUACACAUAACACCUUAAAGGAAUACACAUAACACCUUAAAGGAAUAAACAUAACACCUUAAAGAAAUAAACAUAACACCUUAAAGGAAUAAACAUAACACCUUAAAGAAAUAAACAUAACACCUUAAAGGAAUAAACAUAACACCUUAAAGGAAUAAACAUAACACCUUAAAG